UGCGAGUUGAGAGGGUUCGGCCCUCGGCAGACGGCUCAGUAACACGUGGAUAAUCUGCCCUUAGGUGGAGGAUAACCUCGGGAAACUGAGAAUAAUACUCCAUAGAUCUAGGAUGCUGGAAUGCAUCUAGGUUGAAAGUUCCGGCGCCUAAGGAUGAGUCUGCGGACUAUCAGGCUGUAGUCAGGGUAAAGACCUGACUAACCUACGACGGAUACGGGUUGUGAGAGCAAUAACCCGGAGACGAUAUCUGAGACACGAUAUCGGGCCCUACGGGGCGCAGCAGGCGCGAAACCUUCACACUGUGCGAAAGCGCGAUGAGGGGAUCCCAAGUGCUUGCACGUAAGUGUAAGCUGUUUCUGUGUCUAAAAAGCAUAGAGAGUAAGGGCUGGGUAAGACGGGUGCCAGCCGCCGCGGUAAUACCUGCAGCUCAAGUGGUGACCGCUAUUAUUGGGCCUAAAACGUCCGUAGCCGGUUUAGUAAAUGCCUGGGUAAAUCGUGUAGCUUAACUAUACGAAUUCCGGGUAGACUGCUAAACUUGAGACCGGGAGAGGCUAGAGGUACUUCUGGGGUAGAGGUGAAAUUCUGUAAUCCUAGGGGGACCACCAGUGGCGAAGGCGUCUAGCUAGAACGGGUCUGACGGUGAGGGACGAAGCCCUGGGGCGCAAACCGGAUUAGAUACCCGGGUAGUCCAGGGUGUAAACGCUGCUUGCUUGAUGUUAGUCGGGCUCUGAGCCCGAUUAGUGUCGGAGAGAAGUUGUUAAGCAAGCUGCCUGGGAAGUACGGUCGCAAGGCUGAAACUUAAAGGAAUUGGCGGGGGAGCAC
rnacentral:rRNA from 1 species